AGUGAACGCUGGCGGUAGGCCUAACACAUGCAAGUCGAACAGCAGCACAGUAAGAGCUUGCUCUUACGGGUGGCGAGUGGCGGACGGGUGAGGAAUACAUCGGAAUCUACUUUUUCGUGGGGGAUAACGUAGGGAAACUUACGCUAAUACCGCAUACGACCUACGGGUGAAAGCAGGGGAUCUUCGGACCUUGCGCGAUCGAAUGAGCCGAUGUCGGAUUAGCUAGUUGGCGGGGUAAAGGCCCACCAAGGCGACGAUCCGUAGCUGGUCUGAGAGGAUGAUCAGCCACACUGGAACUGAGACACGGUCCAGACUCCUACGGGAGGCAGCAGUGGGGAAUAUUGGACAAUGGGCGCAAGCCUGAUCCAGCCAUACCGCGUGGGUGAAGAAGGCCUUCGGGUUGUAAAGCCCUUUUGUUGGGAAAGAAAAGCAGCAGGUUAAUACCCCGCUGUUCUGACGGUACCCAAAGAAUAAGCACCGGCUAACUUCGUG
rnacentral:rRNA from 1 species